UGACAUUGCUUUGUUUCUUCGUGUUCCCCCUAAUGUUUUCCCAUUUGCUUUGUUUCUGACAACCCGCAAAUUUUAUUUCCUGCUCCACUCGGUGAGAAGCCAAUGGAAAGGUUUGACUUGUGGCUUUCCCAGACCUUUACCAACAGCUUCAUCAUCAUGGUUGAAAGCCACUCUGGUGGUUAACUGUGUGUCAGAUUUCCCAUGUUGUAAAACUUCAGUUAUUGUGUAAGUGGAUGUUUCCUGCUUGAUUUAGUUUUCGGGUGUUGCACUCCCCGUUUGCAAUAUCUUAAAAGUGGGGUAGUCAGGAUCUGAGAAAGUGCCAGUUUUUGGGCGAAAUCUUGAAUGUAAACUCUACCCUUCCAAACCAGGUUUCCCCUCAGCUCCUCCUCUCCCCUCCCUCUCUGCUCCAGAAAGCCCCGCCCACAAACAGACGCACCUGCUCGCUUGUGUCGUUUUAAUUAUAUUCAGAUAUAAUGCAGAUAAAUACUUCAGAUAAUUACAAAUGAGGCCCAGUCAAUGUGAAAGUAAAAAAGAUAUGUGCUAGUACUGUAGAUGCCAACAGACUACCAGCAAACACAAUGUUUGCAGGACUUCUACAACUAGGAUUAGGAGACAUAGUCCAGGACCCGAGGUAAACAGUUUAGCGGCGCUACAACAGGCAGCAGGUUCCAUUUGACAAGAAACACUUCUGUUACACUUGGCUUACUUUGUUAAAGCUGUUUACCUGUCCACCAGAAAGGUUACAGCGUCCCUAAGAUCCUGAAGCGUCCUCCAUCAACCCGGCUUUUUAGCUCUUGUAGGUCUACCUCCUUUUCAAGCGCCCGUUUUUCUGCCAGAGUCUCCAGUAUUUACUUUGUUUUCUUGCUUGUGUUGGCAGUCAUGGCCAAAGGAGGAUUCAGGCAAUUUUCCGUACUUUCUGGUUUGUUUAUACUGUCUGAUGUUGUAGCACUAACUUUGUUUGGGCUCGUGCAUGUUAUCAGAGGACGUGGAGCGUGUCUCACGACAUGAGGGAGCAGCAUCUGCCUCAUAACCAUAGACUGUAUAUAGAAUGGACCCCGCCUGCCUCCUCGCUGGGUGAAGCCACUCUGAGAACAGCACCCUCUGGUGACGGGCUGCAGUAUUGGUCAGUAUAGGCCAAGUGUCAUCACAGCAACUCUCAGCAACUCUCCCGCCAAAUGUGCAUGAUGCUACUGCGCAAGUGUUGAAGUGCGUACAACACUACGCAAUGUUGGUUUCAGGAAAAAGGAGAGAAAACGCUGAAUUACUGCGAGCUUUUUAGCUUCAAAUCCGUAUACUGGUGGAAGGCGUAACCAAGUUGUCCAUAGUAUAUACAGUCUAUGCUCACAACCAAUCAGCACUAAGGAGCAGUGUCCGCCUCACAACCAAUCAGGUUGGGCGAGGCGGAGAAUGGCUUUGUUUACAGUCAGAAAGAGCAGGAUGUUCAAAAAAUUUAAAAUGUUGACAACGCAGACAUAAAAAAACACAGUGAUAUCGUUACAUGACGAAAUGUCAUCAAUAACUAAUAGCUAUUGACUGAUAUUAAAAGCUUUUUUGUAUAUACACCACAAAAAAAGAUGCUUCUUUAACAGAUUCCUGCCUUCUCCACCUUUAACUGUGGUCGAACAGUUCAAGAGUAAUUCUUUACAAGCAUUAAAAUUUCAGCAGCAGCCUCUGCUCCACAGAUCUUUGAUAGAUGUACCUUUUAACAGCUUUUUCUGUAAAACACUCCGCACAAAUGUUUUAAUUUAUGUAUAACAGAUUCACAUUGCUGUUUCCCAAAAUAAUAAAGCACCCAAGUUGUGGAAGAAUUACAUUACGCUGCACCGCACUGUAAAAUCUGCUUCAGAGACAUCAUCAAACAGCAGGCAGGGCAGCUAAAAGUUGCAGAUCAGAACCAGAUAGUUCUCGGGUGGCUGGGGUUUACAUAAUGUGGCACCGUGAGAGCACAUUGAUUUUUCUUGCUUUGAGCAGGCGGUCUUGCAGAAUGCUUUUCUGCACAAGGCCAAUGUCUGGCUUCAGAAAUGUACUGGGAGGCAGAACAGAAAGUGUGUAUAUCAGCUGAUUUGGAUAUUAGAUGGAAAUAGAAAGUUAGCUUGAGCAGCAACAGGACUCUAAAAGGCCAAAAUGCUAGAUUAGCUAUAUUUCCUCCCCGUUGAAAGGAGAUGAAACGUUUACAAAGCUUCUUAUGUUUAAAUGGGAUGAGCAGAGUGUUAUCAAUGAGGCCAGCUGGGGUUGAAUAUACGGCUCUUGAGAUCCUUUGAAACUGAUGAAAUGAGGUAUUUUGAUUAAGGUUUUAACACAUUAUCCACACAGGAUAAUAUCUGCUUUUAAAAUUAAGCACAAGUCGACUAUGUAGUCAUGAGAUCAUUAAUUACCCUCAUGAUUCUUCAGGAGGUGAUUGGGUUGUCUUUUGGAGAGGAAAUGAGUUCGGCACUUAGGAUAUCUUCUUCCAUGUGAGGUCCAGGUGACAGUAUUUUCAUUAUCUGUUCCUCCUAAAGCCGUUCUGUGCAGGGAGGCUGCACAGCACAGUGCACCAAACAGGGCCGACACUGAUUCAUAGCUCUCCAUAGUCUGGUUCAUGCAUUUGCUAUUGUCCACACAUGUCCUUGUUGAACAAAUGUGUCUGCUUUAUAGAGCCGUUUUAAAUGGGAAAAACCGUUUGAAAACAUCCUGACACAAAGAUACCCGACAGGUCUAUUGCACGCAGUGUGCGAGGUUCAAAAAAGUCUUUGCAAUCCUGCAUAACAAAGGCGCGUUUAAAAGGUCAUUCAAGAAGUUUCCAGUGUUUAUCUCAAAGAAAAAAAAAGAGCCUUCGAAGAUGCGCUUAAUUGAUUUCUCUCUGCAGUAAUGUAAAACAGAUUUGCUACCGUUGAUUUACAAAAGAAAAGAAGUCUAAUUGUGUGACCCUUAAUCGCUGAUACUGUUUCAAACUGCACGCUGACAGCUACAGUAUGAGCACAGGAAACACAAAGUGAGAGUGCAUCUCAUGAGUGAGUCAAAAAAUAAAUAAAUAUCAUGUAAUUUAAUUAGUGCGGAUGCUCUGGGAUGCUGCUAAAAUGCUUAUUUAACACUUCUCCUCUCCCUAUGUUUGACAAAGCCUUCAUUAGCAUCACCUUAGGUUGUUAAAGUAUCUGAUGUUUGCCAUAUAUACUGUAUAUAUAUGAACACUCACACUGAAAUAAAAUCAAUACCAACAUGCUAUAUAGCAAUGAAUCAGCCGUAAGCAAUUCUUUAAAUAAAUGAUUGAUUAUGUGCAGGAAUGCAGAGGAUCAAGUUCUUCAUAUAUGCUGGAAACAUGUUGCCUUAGUUGUUUCAGAUUACAUGUUUUUCUUUAUUGUAAUGAGGCAAACUGACAAAAUAACACUUGAAACCACACCCUCUCCUCCGUCUGUUAUAUUCCUCUGCAACACAGUGAAUACAUCAACAGACUAAAGUAUAGAUUUUUUUCCCUCUGUCUGAAAUCAGGCUCUCUUCAUGCAAAUAGCUGUUUUGAUGUUUUUUGUUGGCAUCUGCUGCUUUUCUCAGGGCGCUAUAAUUAAACAGGAGGAGGCCACAACCCUUCUUUAUUCCGUGGCAGUUUGAGAAAUGGCUGUUGCGAAAUGCGCAGUGUCAAAGCAAAAAGGCAAUACCAGAUGAAAAACAGCAAAAAAAAAUCUCACUGCACACGCACUCACAGUGGAAUCUUUGGAGUGUUUGUAUCUGAGGAUUUGUGAAUUAAUUUUCAUUCUCAGCGUGAUUGUCCCAAACUUGCUCAGCAGAACUGCAUCAUAUUCUGUGUAUAGAGCUGUCUGAAAAUUAACUCCUCUGAGGACAUGGCUUGUGGCUCCACGGCUGAAAAGCAUAUCGACCUGACUUGAUACCUCUCGCUGGUAAUGGUUUAAAGCUGUGACACCCUGCACUUAUAGAUAAACACAUCAGAAAAUGGGGGUAAUAGUCCGUUGGGUUUAAUUCAGCCCACCUAAAACACAGUCAGCCUCGAUCAGCUGAAUUGUUUGGACUCGUCGUCGUCGUCAUUUUCUUCUGCUUACCCGGGUCCGGGUCGAGGGGGCAGCUGCUUCAGGAGGGAAGCCCAGACGGCCCUCACCCGAGCCACUUCCACCAGCUCCUCCGGGGGGAUUCCCAGGUGCUCCCAGGCCAGGCGAGAGAUAUAAGCCCUCCACUUGGUCCUGGGCUGGCCACAAGGUCUCAUAUCGGUGGGACAUGUCUGGAACACUUCUAACAGGAGGCGUCCAGAAGGCACCCUAUCCAGAUGCCCGAACCACCUCAGCUGACUCCUCUCAAUGUGGAGGAGCAGCGGUUCUACUCUGAGCGCCUCCUGAGUGUCUGAGCUCCUUACCCUAUCUCUAAGGCCGAGCCCAGCCUCCCUGCGCAGGAUACCCAUUUCGGCCGCUUGUAUCCGCAAUCUCCUUCUUUUGGUCAUUACCCAAAGUUCAUGACCAUGGCUGAGGGUCGGCACGUAGAUCGACCGGUAAAUCCAGAGUCUCGCCUUGGGGCUCAGCUCUUUCCUCACCACGACAGAUCGGUUAAGCGUCCGCAUCACUGCUGACGCCGCUCCGAUCUGCCUGUCGAUCUCCCACCCCAUCCUAACCUCACUCAUGAACAAGAUCCUGAGAUACUUAAGGCAGGACCUCCCCUCCAACCCAGAGAAGGUAAUCUACCUUUGUCCGACUGAGGACCAUGGCCUCGGACUUGGAGGUGCUGAACUGGACACCCUUCACCCCCCGGCUGUGCCUAGAAAUUCUGUCCAUAAAGGUUAUGAACAGAACCGGUGACAAAGGGCAGCCCUGGUGGAGUCAGUGUUCGGACUCUAUGAAAAUAAUAAUCCAUUAAGAUAACAGAGAAAAAUGAACGUUUUUAUUUACACACUUCGUGCCGCCAUCGAGGUUUACACCCCCAGCACUUUCCCUGAACUGACAACAUCCUCAGGAUAACCCUCUUAUGUCAUCAUUAAAGGGCUCAGACUCGGCACUUUGUCAGAGUUUGCCGUCCGGUGAAGAGGCACAAAAGGCGGCAGAAAAUAGAUCUCUUUGAUGAAUAGCAGAUUAUGAUGGAGAGGUGAGCAAACUUACCUCUUAUUCAGCUGCCCACAUGUGCAGUGCAGGAGACUUACCAUCCCCGACAGCAGCAAAUAAGCCUCUGAUUCCACGGACAAGCUUCAAAUGGGAUGUAAUCCCUCUGGAUCUUUUGCUAAAAAAAAUACAGUGAAACAUCCAUCCAUCCCCUCCAUUUAGAUUUAACAUAAAGAAGCAUGUGUUUACAUAAAAGAUCAAAUAAAUAUGCUAAUUCUUUUUCACUCUAUGGGCAUUAAUUGUUUGUACAGUAUUUAUAGGCUGUCUUCAUGCAUUAACAUCCCAAAGACAGGCGUCCUUUUAGCCGUCUUGUGUCUGUAUAAUCAGAGGAUCAGCUUCUUUUUAGCCCAUUGUGGAGAUAUGACAUGUGAAAAGAUGACAUAAAAUUUCCCUCUGAGCACCGUGACUUGACGCCUCAACCCGGCAGAGUCUCCUUCAGCAUCGCUCUGUUUUUUUCUCAGUUUUUAGUCAGCCCACAUGUGACAAAUGAGUCUCCAAAUUUAGAAACCUUACUGACAACUUCUUAGCUUAGAGGUGAGAUAACAUGCAGAGGCUCACAGAUGAGGGUUUAUGUAACAUACCUGAGCAUGUUUAAUGAAAGGGUUAGAGCAGAAUAUUCAGCUUUCUCUGGCAGCUGGAGUCCUCUGAAAUACUGGGAACUGCUUUCUGCCUAAACGGUUCAAUACCUGGAGGAUUAAAGGGUCUGGAAAAAUACUCAUAUUUAACAAGAAAAGAAAAAAAAUGUUGCAUAUUUUUUAAACAUGUUUUAAAAUCAAUAUAAUCACCCUGUGUCCCCCUGUAAUGAAUCUUGGAGUGCCUUCGGAGGUCCUGCCCCACUGUUAAGUUUAUCAUUGUCGCAGAUUCGCAUGAGGCUAAUUAUUUUCCACUGCCAGUUCAACAUGCAGAAUUUACCCUUAAUAUUCUGCGGUUCAGAUCUAUGAGGGAGGAAUCUAGUGUAACCACACAUUUUGGAUAAAGCUAGUCAACAAUAGCCAAUAAAUCAAACCAACAGACUGGUUGUUCUCGCUUUAGAUCUGGGCUCAUUUCCCGGUAAUAUCUGAUAUUCCAGUAAAGGACUCCAGUUCUUUUUACUUUCUUAAACCUACAGUUGGGGUGUGGAAAGUAGACAACAGGGAUCUAUAACCUUUGCAACCUCACCCUUUCUAGGAUACGUGAAAGCAACCAUUAAAAACAAAAGGUUUACACAGUACUAAGGUAGUUUUCUCACUUGGCUUGACUUUUGGUGGCUCACAGAUAACUUUAACCCCGACAUCCCUGGUGUUGGAGUCCUGUGUGGAUCCUCUGUAAAUGAUCUCUCAGUACUGUAUUCCCUGUAAACACUCCACUGGUCCCGAUCCAGCUCUUUUUGUUUUUUUUCAGCAGAUGGUUUCUGCUGUCUGCUUUCCCAGAUCUGGUGGUAAACAAUCUGUCCAUCAUGAAUUUGUAGAUCACGGAGAGUACAUGCAAAGCAGUCCAGGUUGUAAAUAAAGAUUUUUUAAGGUCCUGAGGGGAACUGGAACGUUUCUUUGCUUCAUUUUCUAAUAAAAAAAUCAAUUCCUCUGUCUUUUAGUUGUCAAAAGUAUCAUCCAUUAAGACUUUACUCUGUGGAAAAUGUCAAGAAAGACAGUUUGGACGGCGUCUUGUUAAUCACUUAACUGACACAUUCCCCCAGCAGCAGUUUGAGGCAGUCAAAAAAGAAGAAAUAUGAUGCUUCUUUUUGAUUGUGGGCUCAUUUGCUCAUAAAAAGUUAACAGUCUCAACUUUAUCUGAAAGUUAAAACUCUUCUCAGGAGCUUAGACCCC